GUUCCCGCGAGCACUCGUUAAAACCUCCAGACUGCGCAGGUGGUAAGCUAAUGGAUCUGGCUUUGGACCCGAAGUCACACACACACACACAGCCCACUUCUUCUAUCUAACAGGAGGUGCCAGGAAAGAGUAGUGUUGUCUCCAGACAGAUCAUCUGAACACCAACACACAGUGUAGAGGGACACGCAUAUUAAAACCAACCACACAGGUAAGCUGCCGCACACACACACCUUUCCUGAAGAAAACUGCAAAACACUAAUCAAGUAGAGAAUUAUCACUCAGCAAACAACUGCCAAUAUUUCUUAAACUUAAUGUAAUUUA